AUUGAACGCUGGCGGCAUGCCUAACACAUGCAAGUCGAACGAGUGGCGGACGGGUGAGUAAUGUAGGGGAACGUGCCCGCUAGAGGGGGAUAACUACUGGAAACGGUGGCUAAUACCGCAUACCAUCGGAUGCGCCCAGAUUGGAUUAGCGAGUGGGGGGGGUAACGGCCCACCAGGGCGACGAUCCCUAGCUGGUGUGAGAGGAUGAGCAGCCACAUGGGAACUUGGACACCGCCCAGACUCCUACGGGAGGCAGCAGUGGGGAAUAUUGGACAAUGGGGGGAAGCAUGAUGCAGCCAGCCCGAGUGUAUGAAGAAGGCCUUCGGGUUGUAAAGUACUUUUAGCGGGGAUGCGGUACCUGCAGAAGAAGCACCGGCUAACUACGUGCCAGCAGCCGCGGUAAUUC
rnacentral:rRNA from 1 species